UACAGAGGGUGCAAGCGUUAAUCGGAAUUACUGGGCGUAAAGCGCACGUAGGCGGUUUUUUAAGCAGAUGUGAAAGCCCCGGGCUCAACCUGGGAAUUGCAUUUGAAACUGGAAAACUAGAGUGUGUGAGAGGGGGGUAGAAUUCCAAGUGUAGCGGUGAAAUGCGUAGAGAUUUGGAGGAAUACCAGUGGCGAAGGCGGCCCCCUGGCACAACACUGACGCUCAGGUGCGAAAGACGUGGGGAGGCAAACAAGGAGUUA
rnacentral:rRNA from 1 species